AAGCUGUUAAAUAAUGAUUUUAAAGUCAUGAAAUAUAAUUGUACGUUACCUGAUAAAAGUUCUGCAUAUUUUUUUUACAUGAUGAUAAUUAUAAAGUCAUGAAUAUAAUGAUCAGUUAUUUUGAAAAAGAAAAUUGGCUUUCUAAUAAUCCCUACCUACAGGUUUGGUUUUUACCAUCCAAAAUGAAUUAAUAUAUGUUCCAUGUGUUACUUUAAAAUAUAAACUACUCUACAUUGAAUCUAUUCUUACUCUAAAAUUUGGGCUGGAUUUAAAUUCAGUUUAACUGGUUAAAUGAAAUGAUUUUACCGUGCUGAUUAUUUUUCCUCAAGAUAAUUUGGCUAUCCUGAGCUACAAUUUCUAAAGGAUUUUUACUACUUUGGCUUUAUGUAAUCUGUUCUCUGUAACAAGGGACAAGUAAACAAGAAAUGUCCCACUCAUGUUUGCUUCAUAAAAGGAUAUGGAAUGUGUACAUCAGGGGUUUGUGUUUUCUUUUUUUAAACCAGCAUCAGCCUAUAGCUUUGCUGUAAACUUUCCAAGUAUUGAGCGAAUGGUGCUGGUGAAAAUUUAAAUAGGUUUGUAGAAAUUCUCUCUACUGAGUGAUGUCCUCUCAACCUAGGACUAGUGAUAAUCUUCAUCUUUUGAGCUGAAGAAAAAAACUGCACAUUUAAGAUCAUAUUUAUUGGUGCAUGUAAGCCGUUAUCCUGUCUUACAGAACUGAUUAAUGCUGUUGAUUGUUGAAAUGUGAAAUGUAGUCAGUCACUGUUCAUCUUGUAAAUAUCUGCCAGAGAUGAAAAAAUAUUUUAAGUUAUUGUAAAUAAAGAUGUAUAAAGUUCAGUGUCAGUCUGCAAUGCAGAAACAUAAUCUAAGAUGUUAAAUACUGUGUUUCUUGACAGUUGUGUAAUACUAGGUGUAUCUAGUUAUAUUAAUGUAAAUUUUCUUUUGUACAGUAUAAAAAUACAGCUCUAUUUGGCUUUUAACUGGAUUUCCUUGAGUUUUUAUACAGUAGUCCUUUCUAUUCAGAGUAUGCCAUUUUAUUUUUGUAUAUCUGAACUUUUAUGCCCUAUUAAAGGCAAUGUAUAAAAUUACAUAUAACAUUAUAAAAUAAGAAAUAACAAAUGGAAGAGUGAAAUUAAUACAUAAAACAUGGGUGUAUAUAUGUUUGUGUGUGUGUGGUGCUGGAGAUGUCCCAGACAUUUCUGUAUAUUAAUUGUAGGAACUUGAAUUUGCACUGAACUCUUCUUUUUUUGCAGUACUGGGUAUUGAACUCAUUUGGUUGCACAUGUUAGGCAAGCCUUUUUUUUUUUUGUACUGGG
rnacentral:lncRNA from 1 species